ACCAGGAUGGCCGAGUGGUUAAGGCGAUGGACUUAAAAUCCAAUGGACAUCUUUGUGGGUUCAAACCCCACUCCUGGUA